UACAGAGGGGGCAAGCGUUGUUCGGAAUUACUGGGCGUAAAGGGCGCGUAGGCGGCCUGCUAAGUCGAACGUGAAAUCCCCGGGCUCAACCCGGGAACUGCGUCCGAUACUGACAGGCUUGAAUCCGGGAGAGGGAUGUGGAAUUCCAGGUGUAGCGGUGAAAUGCGUAGAUAUCUGGAGGAACACCGGUGGCGAAGGCGGCAUCCUAGACCGGUAUUGACGCUGAUGCGCGAAAGCCAGGGGAGCAAACGGG
rnacentral:rRNA from 1 species